rnacentral:rRNA from 1 species
CGUAGCGGCGGGCGGGUGAGUAACGCGUGGGUAACCGUGCCUCAUACAGGGGGAUAACAGUUGGAAACGGCUGCUAAUACCGCAUAAGCGCACAGUACCGCAUGGUACGGUGUGAAAAACUCCGGUGGUAUGAGAUGGACCCGCGUCUGAUUAGGUAGUUGGUGGGGUAACGGCCUACCAAGCCGACGAUCAGUAGCCGACCUGAGAGGGUGACCGGCCACAUUGGGACUGAGACACGGCCCAA